UUUGAGAUCCGUAUUGGGUAAAGAUAGAAGCAAAGAGCAAGGAUUUUGGAUUUCUAGAUUCAUUUUGUACAAAACUAUUAUUUUCCAUGAUGAUCAAUAAAUUUAACAUUUCAUCAAAAAAAACAAAAUAGAGGUUUCAUAUUACCAUCUAUACAAAAGCUGACAAGCACACACAACCAAAAAAGAAAAUAGAGGUUUCAUAUUACCAUCUAUACAAAAGCUGACAAGCACACACAACCACAGUAUAAGUUAAACACAGAACGGAGGGGCAGAUGAUACCAGGGAAAAGAAAUUAAAAAUCAUCUCUGAUUUUGUUGGAUGUUUGAUCAAAAUACCAUCACGAGAAACCUAACAAAAAAUAAUAAUUUUGUUCAAAAACAAAUUUAUUAUACUUUAGUUUUUUAGAUGCGCGAUUGGAUGACUGAGUAUCAGUUACAUCAAGUGGAGGAUUUCUGGUCAACUUCUAACUACACAUUUUCUAACAGUAGUGUGUGUUUAUUUGGACAACAGCAAGAAGUUGGACCACAUAAUGUAAGUAAAUUGUCAGUGAG
rnacentral:lncRNA from 1 species